rnacentral:lncRNA from 1 species
CCACAGAAUGAAUAUAUUGAAUUACACCAUAAAUGCUAUACCAUUUGGAUUACCAUGAGAGAAAGAGAAAGAAGGAAAGUCGAGAAGCUCAAGAAUGUUCAAAGAAGGCAAAGAAAAUGAUUGGUCUGAAGGCUAAGCUUAAUCAUAAACAGCGCCAUGCUGAGAAAAUACAAAUAAAAAAGACCAUCAAGAUGCAUGAAAAGAGAAACACCAAACAAAAGAAUGAUGAAAAGAUUCCACAGGGAGCAGUACCUGCCUAUCAGCAGGACAGAGAGACAAUCUCGAGCUAAAGUACUUUCCAAUAUGAUUAAACAGAAACGAAAAGAGAAUGAGGGAAAAUGGGAAGUCCCUCUGCCUAAAGUAUGUGCCCAGGGAGAAACAGAAGCAUUAAGUUAUUCAAACAGGAAAGAGAAAGAAGAAGGCAUGGAAGAGGAUGGUUACUGAAGUCUGCUUUGCUAGAGAUGUCUUUACAAGAAAACCACCUAAAUAUGAAAGAUUCAUCAGGCCAAUGGGCUUGCAUUUCAAGAAAGUCCAUGUAACACAACCUGAACUGAAAGCCACCUUUUGCCUACCAAUACUUGGUGUAAAGAAGAAUCCGUCAUUCCCGCUGUAUACAACUUUGGGUGUUAUUACUAAAGACUGUCACUGAGGUAAAUGUGAGUGAAGUGGGCCUUGUGACACAGGGAGGCAAAGUUAUUUGGGGAAAUAUGCCCAGGUUAUCAACAAUCCUGAAAAUGAUGGAUGCAUAAAUGCAGUCUUACUGGUUUGA